UACGGGGGGGGUAAGCGUUGUUCGGAAUUACUGGGCGUAAAGGGCUCGUAGGCGGCCAACUAAGUCAGACGUGAAAUCCCUCAGCUUAACUGGGGAACUGCGUCUGAUACUGGAUGGCUUGGAUUCGGGAGAGGAAUGCGGAAUUCCAGGUGUAGCGGUGAAAUGCGCAGAUAUCAGGAAGAACACCCGUGGCGAAGGCGGCUCUCUGGGACGGUACUGACGCUGAGACGCGAAAGCGUGGGGAGCGAACAGG
rnacentral:rRNA from 1 species